rnacentral:rRNA from 1 species
UACGUAGGGGGCGAGCGUUGUCCGGAGUUACUGGGCGUAAAGGGCGGGUAGGCGGCCACCGCAAGUCGACUGUGAAAUCUCCGGGCUUAACCCGGAAAGGUCAGCCGAUACUGCGGGGCUAGAGUGCAGAAGGGGCAACUGGAAUUCUCGGUGUAGCGGUGAAAUGCGUAGAUAUCGAGAGGAACACCUGCGGCGAAGGCGGGUUGCUGGGCUGACACUGACGCUGAACUGCGAAAGCUAGGGGAGCGAACGGG